GAUGAACGCUGGCGGCGUGCCUAAUACAUGCAAGUCGAGCGAACAGAUAAGGAGCUUGCUCCUUUGACGUUAGCGGCGGACGGGUGAGUAACACGUGGAUAACCUACCUAUAAGACUGGGAUAACUUCGGGAAACCGGAGCUAAUACCGGAUAACAUAUUGAACCGCAUGGUUCAAUAGUGAAAGGCGGCUUUGCUGUCACUUAUAGAUGGAUCAGCGCCGUAUUAGCUAGUUGGUAAGGUAACGGCUUACCAAGGCAACGAUACGUAGCCGACCUGAGAGGGUGAUCGGCAACACUGGAACUGAGACACGGUCCAGACUCCUACGGGAGGCAGCAGUAGGGAAUCUUCCGCAAUGGGCGAAAGCCUGACGGAGCAACGCCGCGUGAGUGAUGAAGGUCUUCGGAUCGUAAAACUCUGUUAUCAGGGAAGAACAAAUGUGUAAGUAACUGUGCACAUCUUGACGGUACCUGAUCAGAAAGCCACGGCUAACUACGUGCCAGCAGCCGCGGUAAAAC
rnacentral:rRNA from 1 species